rnacentral:misc_RNA from 1 species
GUCAAGGCAACAAUUUGAGCAGAAGUAUCAUUUUGCACAUCUUCUAGUCUCUUUUGCAAGGCUUGAUACUCCUCAACUUUCUUGACUAAUGAGUUCUCCAGUUCAGAUAUUUUCAGGAGGAAACUUUCCUUUUCGUCCUUCAACAGACUGAUCUCAUUGUUUGUAUUGCUUGUGUUUUCUUCCAAUGUGCUAAUCUUUUCACAAAG